rnacentral:rRNA from 1 species
UGACCUCAAAUCGGGUGGGACUACCCGCUGAACUUAA